AACUAAAAAUAGCUCAAAAAUAAUAAACCUAAAAUAUCUUAACAAUCUUUAAACAAAACAUUUGCAAUAAUUAAAGUAUAGGCGAUAGAAAUUACAUUAGACGCUAUAGAGAUAGUACCGCAAGGGAAAAAUGAAAGAAAUUUAUAAGUAAAUAAUAGCAAAGAUUAAUACUUGUACCUUUUGCAUAAUGAUUCAAUUAGAAAAUAUUAGCAAAAAGAAUUGAAGUUAAUUACCCCGAAACCAGACGAGCUACCUAAUAGCAGUCCAACACGAACGAACUCAUCUAUGUAGCAAAAUAGUGAGAUGACUAUUAGGUAGUGGCGACAAACCUACCGAGCCUGGUGAUAGCUGGUUGUCCGGAAUAGAAUUUUAGUUCUAACUUAAAUUUACCAAAAAAAUAAAUAAAUUUAAAUGUAAAUUUAAGAAAUAGUCUAAAAGGGUACAGCCUUUUAGAUAUGGGAUACAACCCUAAUUAGAGAAUAAAAAUAAAUAAACCACAGUAGUUGGCUUAAGAGCAGCCACCAAAUAAGACAGCGUUCAAGCUCAACAAUUAAAAAAAAAAACUAAUACCAAUUAUUAUAAAUUAAUAUUCCUAAUAUAAGACCGGACUACUCUAUUCAUGAAUAGAGGCAAUAAUGUUGAUAUGAGUAACAAGAAAUAUUUCUCCCAGCACACGUGUAUAUCAGAACGAAUAAGUCACUGAUAGUUACCAAAACAAGAAUAAGCAAGUAAUUAAACACAACCACUAAUUGUUAAUCCAACACAGGAGUGCAAUAAGGGAAAGAUUAAAAAAAGUAAAAGGAACUCGGCAAAUUUAAACCCCGCCUGUUUACCAAAAACAUCACCUCUAGCAUAAAAAGUAUUAGAGGCACUGCCUGCCCAGUGACUUUAGUUUAACGGCCGCGGUAUCCUGACCGUGCAAAGGUAGCAUAAUCACUUGUUCUCUAAAUAAGGACUUGUAUGAAUGGCUUCACGAGGGUUUUACUGUCUCUUACUUUCAAUCAGUGAAAUUGACAUUCCCGUGAAGAGGCGGGAAUUGAUUAAUAAGACGAGAAGACCCUAUGGAGCUUUAAUUAACUAACUUAUUGAUAUUUAAUAUUUUUCUAAAAGAAAUAAAACACCUUCUAUUAAGUUAGCAAUUUAGGUUGGGGUGACCUCGGAAUAUAAGUAAACUUCCGAGAAAAUUUAUCAAGACCUACAAGUCAAAAUUAUCUCAAUAUAAAUUGAUCCGCCACUAGCGAUCAACGAAACAAGUUACCCUAGGGAUAACAGCGCAAUCCUAUUUAAGAGUCCAUAUCGACAAUUAGGGUUUACGACCUCGAUGUUGGAUCAGGACAUCCCAAUGGUGCAGCAGCUAUUAAUGUGUUCGUUUGUUCAACGAUUAAAGUCCUACGUGAUCUGAGUUCAGACCGGAGUAAUCCAGGUCGGUUUCUAUCUAUUUUAAGUCCCUCCCAGUACGAAAGGACAAGAGAGACAGGGCCCACUUAUAAUAAGCGCCCUAAAAUAACAGAUGAACUAAUCUCAAUCUUAUAUAUAAACUAUAAUUUGUUACCCAAGAAAUAGGGUAAA
rnacentral:rRNA from 1 species